rnacentral:rRNA from 1 species
AUUGAACGCUGGCGGAAUGCUUUACACAUGCAAGUCGAACGGCAGCACGGGGGCAACCCUGGUGGCGAGUGGCGAACGGGUGAGUAAUACAUCGGAACGUGCCCAGUCGUGGGGGAUAACGUAGCGAAAGCUACGCUAAUACCGCAUACGAACUGAGGUUGAAAGCGGGGGAUCGCAAGACCUCGCGCGAUUGGAGCGGCCGAUGGCAGAUUAGGUAGUUGGUGGGGUAAAGGCNCACCAAGCCGACGAUCUGUAGCUGGUCUGAGAGGACGACCAGCCACACUGGGACUGAGACACGGCCCAGACUCCUACGGGAGGCAGCAGUGGGGAAUUUUGGACAAUGGGCGCAAGCCUGAUCCAGCCAUUCCGCGUGCAGGAUGAAGG